UCUCUCUUCCCCCCAAUCAUUCAUUUAUUUCACUACUCACUCCCUGAAGAACUCUAAAGCAAAGGAACCCUAGCCCUCCAUCGUCGCUGCCGUUCCCAGUUCCUCAGCGCCGCCGCCGUCUCCAGUUCCUCAACACCGCCGCUUCUACCUCUUCCCUGUGUCCGGAAUCCAGUAAAUCUGCAGGUCCUUUUCAGCUCUUCAUCUUAACUCACCAAACCAAAACCCUAGGCUUUCUCUGUAUUUUGCAAUGGUUCUGCCGCAGUGCUGCCGCCGUCCGUGCUGUCGACGCCGUCCGUGGCCUGGCCCUCUCUUGUAGCUCGGCAUCCUGCUUUCCUGUCAUCAGUCCGACCUCCGUGGCUUCUCUGUUUUGUUGGCUUGAAGCAACUUGCUGCCGUAUCGCCGCUCGCCGUCGCCUCCUCGGUAGCCGUCGUCUCCCCGGUAGCCGUCCGUGCCUCCAUCGAAGUUUUCAUUUUGUAGGAAAUUGUUUGAGGUAUAUAAGAAUUAAGAAGAAAGAUUAUCCCAACAGCUACUCUGUUGAUUGAUUAUAGUCCCCCACAAGCUUGAAGAGAGGAACCCUUCAUCAUUGUUUGUAGGUAUUCAGAACCUUAUAAAAAGAAAUGAGCAAUUAUAUAGUUCAGAAAACCCUCCCAGUGGUGUAUCUUUACCUUUUAUUCUGGUACAGGUGAAAUUGAUGCUGAUUUAUAUCAAAGUGGUGGUGGUAGUAGUGGUCUUUAUGCUGCAUCUCUUAAUUCUUCUGCUCAACAGGGUGGGAAUAAAAGUAAAGAUCAUCCCACCGAAGCAGAUUUGCAACAAAUUCUUGCGAAUUUUGAUGAUUGAUAAACCAUGAUGUUGGGAUUUAAUAUUUAGAUAUGCUUUUAUUAUUAUUUAACUUUUGAGUUUAGAUUUUGAUAAGAUCAUAUGUAUUUGGUUGAUGCUAUUUUAUGUAGUGUUUUAAAUUUCGAAGAUAUUUUAAAAUUUAUAUUAGACUAUAAUUAUAUUUUAGG